UGCCAGCAGCCGCGGUAAUACGGAGGAUGCAAGCGUUAUCCGGAAUGAUUGGGCGUAAAGGGUCCGCAGGUGGCAUUGUUUGUCUGCUGUUAAAGAGUCUGGCUCAACCAGAUCAAAGCAGUGGAAACUACAAAGCUAGAGUGUGGUCGGGGCAGAAGGAAUUCCUGGUGUAGCGGUGAAAUGCGUAGAUAUCAGGAAGAACACCGGUGGCGAAGGCGUUCUGCUAGGCCAAAACUGACACUGAGGGACGAAAGCUAGGGGAGCGAAUGGGAUUAGAUACCCCAGUAGUCCUAGCCGUAAACGAUGGAUACUAGGUGUAGCUCGUAUCGACCCGAGCUGUACCGUAGCUAACGCGUUAAGUAUCCCGCCUGGGGAGUACGCAGGCAACUGUGAAACUCAAAGGAAUUGACGGGGGCCCGCACAAGCGGUGGAGUAUGUGGUUUAAUUCGAUGCAACGCGAAGAACCUUACCAAGGCUUGACAUGUCACGAAUCCCGGCGAAAGUUGGGAGUGCCUUAGGGAGCGUGAACACAGGUGGUGCAUGGCUGUCGUCAGCUCGUGUCGUGAGAA
rnacentral:rRNA from 1 species